rnacentral:rRNA from 1 species
ACUUAAAUUGAAGAGUUUGAUCAUGGCUCAGAUUGAACGCUGGCGGCAGGCCUAACACAUGCAAGUCGAGCGGUAGCACAGAGAGCUUGCUCUCGGGUGACGAGCGGCGGACGGGUGAGUAAUGUCUGGGAAACUGCCUGAUGGAGGGGGAUAACUACUGGAAACGGUAGCUAAUACCGCAUAAGUCGCAAGACCAAAGUGGGGGACCUUCGGGCCUCAUGCCAUCAGAUGUGCCCAGAUGGGAUUAGCUAGUAGGUGGGGUAACGGCUCACCUAGGCGACGAUCCCUAGCUGGUCUGAGAGGAUGACCAGCCACACUGGAACUGAGACACGGUCCAGACUCCUACGGGAGGCAGCAGUGGGGAAUAUUGCACAAUGGGCGCAAGCCUGAUGCAGCCAUGCCGCGUGUGUGAAGAAGGCCUUCGGGUUGUAAAGCACUUUCAGCGGGGAGGAAAGCGUUAAGGUUAAUAACCUUGGCGAUUGACGUUACCCGCAGAAGAAGCACCGGCUAACUCCGUGCCAGCAGCCGCGGUAAUACGGAGGGUGCAAGCGUUAAUCGGAAUUACUGGGCGUAAAGCGCACGCAGGCGGUCUGUCAAGUCGGAUGUGAAAUCCCCGGGCUCAACCUGGGAACUGCAUUCGAAACUGGCAGGCUAGAGUCUUGUAGAGGGGGGUAGAAUUCCAGGUGUAGCGGUGAAAUGCGUAGAGAUC